CCUACGGGAGGCAGCAGUGAGGAAUAUUGGUCAAUGGACGAGAGUCUGAACCAGCCAAGUAGCGUGAAGGAUGACUGCCCUAUGGGUUGUAAACUUCUUUUAUAUGGGAAUAAAAUGUUCCACGUGUGGGAUUUUGUAUGUACCAUAUGAAUAAGGAUCGGCUAACUCCGUGCCAGCAGCCGCGGUAAUACGGAGGAUCCGAGCGUUAUCCGGAUUUAUUGGGUUUAAAGGGAGCGUAGGUGGAUUGUUAAGGCAGUUGUGAAAGUUUGCGGCUCAACCAUAAAAUUGCAGUUGAAACUGGCAGUCUUGAGUACAGUAGAGGUGGGCGGAAUUCGUGGUGUAGCGGUGAAAUGCUUAGAUAUCACGAAGAACUCCGAUUGCGAAGGCAGUUCACUGGACUGCAACUGACACUGAGGCUCGAAAGUGUGGGUAUCAAACAGGAUUAGAUACCCUUGUAGUC
rnacentral:rRNA from 1 species